AAAAAAAAAAAAAAGUUAGUGUGCUAAAUUGGGUUAUUGGGCUGAGUUGUUGUUGGGUUAUAGGCCAUCACACCUCCUCGUAGAUCGAAGGGGAAAUACUCUAGAGGCGUAGUUAACUAAAUGGGCCCGCACGUUGAGCCUAGUAACAAAUGGGGACCCAAGUGCGCGCCGGAUGAGGUCUUAGCCUUAUUACGAUAUGAGUAAUGGUUUUUCUGCUUUUGGUAAAAUGGCAGAGGCUUUCAUUUUAUAAGUCGGAAAUAGUAACUCUUAUUAAUAGCCCCCAAAUGAAAAGUUUCACCCGCCCAAACUUAUGCCAAUAUCUACUACAAGUGGAAUAUCUAAUUCCCAAAAUAAAAUUAGUUUUAGG
rnacentral:lncRNA from 1 species